UACGUAGGGCGCAAGCGUUAUCCGGAAUUAUUGGGCGUAAAGCGCGCGCAGGUGGUUUCUUAAGUCUGAUGUGAAAGCCCACGGCUCAACCGUGGAGGUCAUUGGAAACUGGGAGACUUGAGUGCAGAAGAGGAAAGUGGAAUUCCAUGUGUAGCGGUGAAAUGCGUAGAGAUAUGGAGGAACACCAGUGGCGAAGGCGACUUUCUGGUCUGUAACUGACACUGAGGCGCGAAAGCGUGGGGAGCAAACAGG
rnacentral:rRNA from 1 species